UAUGCACCGAAGCCGCGGCAGCGAUAUGUAAAUAUUGUUGGGUAGGGGAGCGUUCUGUAAGCCUGUGAAGGUGACCUGUGAGGGUUGCUGGAGGUAUCAGAAGUGCGAAUGCUGACAUAAGUAACGAUAAUGCGGGUGAAAAACCCGCACGCCGGAAGACCAAGGGUUCCUGUCCAACGUUAAUCGGGGCAGGGUGAGUCGACCCCUAAGGCGAGGCUGAAAAGCGUAGUCGAUGGGCAACGGGUUAAUAUUCCCGUACUGGUGGUAACUGCGAAGGGGGGACGGAGAAAGCUAAAUCAUCCGGGCGACGGUUGUCCCGGUUUAAGCGUGCAGGUGGACUGACCAGGCAAAUCCGGUCGGUUGUUAACACUGAGGCGUGACGA
rnacentral:rRNA from 1 species